rnacentral:lncRNA from 1 species
CAGAAACCAUUUCCUUUUGGCUGGGAGCUUGAAAAGCAGCUGGGGAAGCAAAAGGCAAAGGACAAACUAUGAGGAUAUGGAAGAUGAUUGCUAGAAUUGGGAUUUACAGAAGGUAUAAAAAGACAUCCCACAUCUUAAUUCAGUAAAGACAGCCAUCUCUGCGGCCAGUCUGAGACAACAGAGUGUGAGCUGGUCCUGCCGAGACCAGCUGCCUACAGACGUGCCCUUCCCUGCCUGACUCAGGUCUGCUGGAACAGUCAUACCCUCUGCUCUGCUGUCAUACGCUCAGUACCCGGCUUGGAACGGAUGCCCCGUUACCUACUUGGUGAGAUGGAAACUAUGGUGCCCUGCUGCUGCCUCUGGGGAGGAGGAACCUGGGGCCGACAACAUUUCAGAAAAUAAGAAACAAAGCAAAACUUAGUUAACGAUGAAGAAAGAGGAGGCGGGCUUUCCUAACAUAGAGCAGGCUGUGAAGUUUGCUUUGUUCAUAAGAAACUGAUUAACUGAAUGUGGCUAAGGUGAAGAAGGAAGAAUUAAAAUGUAUACAUGUAACAAAUGUAUUUUGUAGACAUAUAUAAUACAAAUGUAUUAUUUGUAGACAUAAUAAAGAAGAAACAAGACAAGUUCA